rnacentral:pre_miRNA from 1 species
UUUUAAGUAUAAUUAUGUCCCAUACAAUAUGUGGGAUAUACUUAUACUAAAA